rnacentral:ncRNA from 1 species
GAUAAAUUGAAAUUUGGUUUAUUAUUUUAUUAGUUGAUUAAUAUAAAUGUGAAAUUUUAUAGUAUUUAAAUAAUACGUGAAUAGCAAUGUUUAAUUUUAAAGAUUAAGGAAACUUAGAUUUAGUAAUUCAAUUUAGUAUAAACUAAUUUUGUGCCAGCAGUUGCGGUUAUACAAAUUAUGCUAAUAAAAUUUUUUUAAUUUAAUUAAAUGAAUAAAAAUUAGUUUUUAAUAUAACUUAUUAGGUGAAAUUUUAAGUUUAAAUUAAUUUAAUUUUUUGGUUUUGUGAUUAGGAAAUUUUAAUGAUAAACUAGGAUUAGAUACCCUAUUAUUUGAAAUGUAAAUUAUUUAUUAAAAUUAUUAGUAGUUAUGGGCUUGAAAGUUAAAAAUUUUGGCGGUAUUUUAGUCUUUUCAGAGGAACCUGUUUUAUAAUUGAUAAUCCACAAUUUAAUUUACUUUUUCUUUAAAUUUAUAUAUCGUUGUAUUUAAAGUAUUUUAAAAGAAAAAUAAUAUUUUAUUUUUAUAAAAGUGAAAUUCAGAUCAAGGUGUAGUUUAUGAAAAAGAAAAAAUGGGUUACAUUAACAAUAGUUUUGAAUAAUAAGAUGCAAUCUUGUUUGAAAUUGGAUUUGAAAGUAAUUAAUUAAAUUUAUUAUUAAUGAUUUAAGCUCUAAAAUAUGUACAUAUUGCCCGUCGCUUUCAUUUUUAAAUGGAAUAAGUCGUAACAAAGCAGAUUUAUUGGAAAAUGAAUCUGGAUUAUU